rnacentral:rRNA from 1 species
CAGUAGCCACGGUAAUACGAAGGGGGCUAGCGUUGUUCGGAAUUACUGGGCGUAAAGCGCACGUAGGCGGACAUUUAAGUCAGGGGUGAAAUCCCGGGGCUCAACCCCGGAACUGCCUUUGAUACUGGGUGUCUAGAGUAUGGAAGAGGUGAGUGGAAUUCCGAGUGUAGAGGUGAAAUUCGUAGAUAUUCGGAGGAACACCAGUGGCGAAGGCGGCUCACUGGUCCAUUACUGACGCUGAGGUGCGAAAGCGUGGGGAGCAAACAGGAUUAGAUACCCCCGUAGUCCCUGUCUCUUAUAA